rnacentral:rRNA from 1 species
AGUUUGAUCCUGGCUCAGGACGAACGCUGGCGGCGUGCUUAACACAUGCAAGUCGAACGGUAAGGCCCUUUCGGGGGUACACGAGUGGCGAACGGGUGAGUAACACGUGGGUAAUCUGCCCUGCACUUCGGGAUAAGCCUGGGAAACCGGGUCUAAUACCGGAUAUGAGCUCCUGCCACAUGGUGGGGGUUGGAAAGUUUUUCGGUGCAGGAUGAGUCCGCGGCCUAUCAGCUUGUUGGUGGGGUAAUGGCCUACCAAGGCGACGACGGGUAGCCGGCCUGAGAGGGUGAUCGGCCACACUGGGACUGAGACACGGCCCAGACUCCUACGGGAGGCAGCAGUGGGGAAUAUUGCACAAUGGGCGAAAGCCUGAUGCAGCGACGCCGCGUGGGGGAUGACGGUCUUCGGAUUGUAAACUCCUUUCAGUAGGGACGAAGCGAAAGUGACGCUACCUGCAGAAGAAGCACCGGCCAACUACGUGCCAGCAGCCGCGGUAAUACGUAGGGUGCAAGCGUUGUCCGGAAUUACUGGGCGUAAAGAGCUCGUAGGCGGUUUGUCACGUCGUCUGUGAAAUCCUCCAGCUCAACUGGGGGCGUGCAGGCGAUACGGGCAGACUUGAGUACUACAGGGGAGACUGGGAUUCCUGNUGUAGCGGUGAAAUGCGCAGAAUAUCAGAGGAACACCGNUGCGAANGCGGGUCUCUGGGUAGUACUGNACGCUGAGACGAAGCAUGGGGAGCAACAGAUAGAUACCUGNUAUCAUGCCGUAACGUGGCGCUAGUGUGGGUCCUCACGAUUCGUGCGUACUACCAUAACGCCGCUGGGAGACGCGCAGCUAACUCAGAUGACGGGCCGA